rnacentral:lncRNA from 1 species
AGAGGAAUAAUUUUCAGUCUUAGUUUAAAUAGGCGCCCACCUGUAUAACGAGAGGAAUAAUUUUCAUGUCUUAGUUUAAAUAGGCGCCCACCUGUAUAACGAGAGGAAUAAUUUUCAGUCUUAGUUUAAAUAGGCGCCCACCUGUAUAACAAGAGGAAUAUUUUCAGUCUUAGUUUAAAUAGGCGCCCACCUGUAUAACGAGAGGAAUACUUUUCAUGUUUUAGUUUAAAUAUUUCAGAUUUUGAGAGCAGUAACCCCACCGGAAGGCCGAAGGUUACAGCAGGAAUAUCCAAUAGGAAACAAUAAAAAUCCCCAGCACCGGGAAGCAGAAGGUUG